UACGUAGGUGGCAAGCGUUAUCCGGAAUUAUUGGGCGUAAAGAGCGCGCAGGUGGUUGAUUAAGUCUGAUGUGAAAGCCCACGGCUUAACCGUGGAGGGUCAUUGGAAACUGGUCGACUUGAGUGCAGAAGAGGGAAGUGGAAUUCCAUGUGUAGCGGUGAAAUGCGUAGAUAUAUGGAGGAACACCAGUGGCGAAGGCGACUUUCUGGUCUGUAACUGACACUGAGGCACGAAAGCGUGGGGAGCAAACAGGAUUAGAUA
rnacentral:rRNA from 1 species